rnacentral:lncRNA from 1 species
AGUCACUCUUUACCUACUGUAUCUUCUAACUUACCAGAAUUACCAUCAUCUUUACUACCUGUGAGUACUACUACCCCUAGUGUAACAUCUGCUUCGUUUCCUCCGUCUAAUUUUGCCCCAGCACCUUCUGCUUUGCCUCUUGCACCUUCUGCAUUGCCUCCUGCACCAUCUGCUUUGCCUUCGGCUUUGCCUCCUGCNCCUUCUGCAACGCUUGCUUCUGAAAUUUUGCCAGCAUCAGUAACAAACAAGAUACCCAAUGUUUCAACU